GACGAACGCUGGCGGCGUGCUUAACACAUGCAAGUCGAGCGGAAAGGCCCUUUCGGGGGUACUCGAGCGGCGAACGGGUGAGUAACACGUGAGUAAUCUGCCCUGGACUCUGGGAUAGCCACCGGAAACGGUGAUUAAUACCGGAUAUGACACCUUGCUGCAUGGUGGGGGGUGGAAAGUUUUUUCGGUCCAGGAUGUGCUCGCGGCCUAUCAGCUUGUUGGUGAGGUAAUGGCUCACCAAGGCUUUGACGGGGAGCCGGCCGGAGAGGGUGGCCGGUCACACUGGGACUGAGACAGGGCCCGGCCUGCUACGGGAGGCAGCAGUGGGGAAUAUUGGACAAAGGGCGGAAGCCUGAUCCAGCAACGCCGCGUGAGGGAUGACGGCCUUCGGGUUGUAAACCUCUUUCAGUACCGACGAAGCGUGAGUGACGGUAGGUACAGAAGAAGGACCGGCCAACUACGUGCCAGCAGCCGCCGUAAGAC
rnacentral:rRNA from 1 species